rnacentral:rRNA from 1 species
CACGUAGGGGGCGAGCGUUGUCCGGAUUUAUUGGGCGUAAAGAGCUCGUAGGCGGCUCAGUAAGUCGGGUGUGAAAACUCCAGGCUCAACCUGGAGACGCCACCCGAUACUGCUGUGGCUAGAGUCCGGUAGGGGAGCAUGGAAUUCCUGGUGUAGCGGUGAAAUGCGCAGAUAUCAGGAGGAACACCGAUGGCGAAGGCAGGUCUCUGGGCCACUACUGACGCUGAGAAGCGAAAGCAUGGGGAGCGAACAGG